UACGUAGGUGGCAAGCGUUGUCCGGAAUUAUUGGGCGUAAAGCGCGCGCAGGCGGCCUUUUAAGUCUGAUGUGAAAUCUUGCGGCUCAACCGCAAGCGGCAUUGGAAACUGGGAGGCUUGAGUACAGAAGAGGAGAGUGGAAUUCCACGUGUAGCGGUGAGAUGCGUAGAUAUGUGGAGGAACACCAGUGGCGAAGGCGACUCUCUGGUCUGUAACUGACGCUGAGGCGCGAAAGCGUGGGGAGC
rnacentral:rRNA from 1 species